UUCCUUUCGACACACAAGCAUUUUUACCCCCCAUCAAGCAAUCAAUCCAGAAUUCCUUUCCAGUCAAAACUUGUUCAGAAAUGGGCUUUACAGGAGUUUGCUGAGAGGAAUGACAAUGGGAAGAUGGCUGAAGGAUCAAAAGGAGAGGAAAAAGUAGGAAAUUAGGAUUCAUAAUGCUCAGUUGCAUGCUGCAGUAUCCGUGGCAGGCAUAGUUGCUGCAGUUGCGGCCAUUGCAGCUUCAAUAGAGUGUACAUUGUAGAAUCAAUACAGUGUACAUAGCAGCCAUAAGAAAGUGUACAUAGCUGCCAUAAAGUUCUACACUUACCAUAUGAGUGGUCUCUAGCUUAGCUUGCAUUGUUCAAGAAAUUUUAGAAAAUUCUAAGGAUGCUACUCUACUAAUGUUUCUGAGACAUGGAUGUAAUUUUCACUCCAUAUGGAUGUAUAACUGUAUAUUAUU